rnacentral:rRNA from 1 species
AGAGUUUGAUCCUGGCUCAGGAUGAACGCUGGCGGCGUGCUAAUACAUGCAAGUCGAGCGAACAGAUAAGGAGCUUGCUCCUUUGACGUUGGCGGCGGACGGGUGAGUAACACGGGGUAACCUACCUAUAAGACUGGAAUAACUCCGGGAAACCGGGGCUAAUGCCGGAUAACAUGUUGAACCGCAUGCUACAGUGAAAGACGGCUUGCUGUCACUUAUAGAUGGACCCGCGCCGUAUUAGCUAGUUGGGGGGUAACGGCCUACCAAGGCGACGAUACGAGCCGACCUGAGAGGGUGAUCGGCCACACUGGAACUGAGACACGGUCCAGACUCCUACGGGAGGCAGCAGUAGGGAAUCUUCCGCAAUGGGCGAAAGCCUGACGGAGCAACGCCGCGUGAGUGAUGAAGGUCUUCGGAUCGUAAAGCUCUGUUGUUAGGGAAGAACAAAUGUGUAAGUAACUGUGCACAUCUUGACGGUACCUAACCAGAAAGCCACGGCUAACUACGUGCCAGCAGCCGCGGUAAUACGUAGGUGGCAAGCGUUAUCCGGAAUUAUUGGGCGUAAAGCGCGCGUAGGCGGUUUUUUAAGUCUGAUGUGAAAGCCCACGGCUCAACCGUGGAGGGUCAUUGGAAACUGGAAAACUUGAGUGCAGAAGAGGAAAGUGGAAUUCCAUGUGUAGCGGUGAAAUGCGCAGAGAUAUGGAGGAACACCAGUGGCGAAGGCGGCUUUCUGGUCUGCAACUGACGCUGAUGUGCGAAAGCGUGGGGAUCAAACAGGAUUAGAUACCCUAGUAGUCC